CGUAACAAGGUUUCCGUAGGUGAACCUGCGGAAGGAUCAUUACCACACCAUAAAAACUUUCCACGUGAACCGUUACAAUUAUGUUCUGUGCUCUCUCUCGGGAGGGCUGAACGAAGGUAGAGCUGCAUGUAAAAGUGCGGUUUCUGCCGAUGUACUUUUAAACCCAUUACACUAAUACUGAACUAUACUCCGAGAACGAAAGUUUUUGGUUUUAAUCAAUAACAACUUUCAGCAGUGGAUGUCUAGGCUCGCACAUCGAUGAAGAACGCUGCGAACUGCGAUACGUAAUGCGAAUUGCAGAAUUCAGUGAGUCAUCGAAAUUUUGAACGCACAUUGCACUUUCGGGAUAUUCCUGGAAGUAUGCUUGUAUCAGUGUCCGUACAUCAAACUUGCCUUUCUUUUUUUGUGUAGUCAAGGAGAGAAAUGGCAGAAUGUGAGGUGUCUCGCUGACUCCCUCUUCGGAGGAGAAGACGCGAGUCCCUUUAAAUGUACGUUCGCUCUUUCUUGUGUCUAAGAUGAAGUGUGACUUUCGAACGCAGUGAUCUGUUUGGAUCGCUUUGCGCGAGUGGGCGACUUCGGUUAGAACAUUAAAGGAAGCAACCUCUAUUGGCGGUAUGUUAGGCUUCGGCCCGACUUUGCAGCUGACAGUGUGUUGUUUUCUGUUCUUUCCUUGAGGUGUACCUGUCUUGUGUGAGGCAAUGGUCUGGGCAAAUGGUUAUUGUGUAGUAGAAUUUUGCUGCUCUUGGGCGCCCUACUCGUAGGGUAAAGGAGGCAACACCAAUUUGGGACUAGUCUGUUUCGGCAGGCGCAUUUUCAAUUUGGACCUGAUAUCAAUAAGCGGAGGAAAAAAGAAAACAA
rnacentral:rRNA from 1 species